rnacentral:misc_RNA from 1 species
GAUGAAGAACGUAGCGAAAUGCGAUAAGUAGUGUGAAUUGCAGAAUUCAGUGAAUCAUCGAAUCUUUGAACGCACAUUGCGCCCCUUGGUAUUCCAUGGGGCAUGCCUGUUCGAGCGUCAUUUGUACCUUCAAGCUUUGCUUGGUGUUGGGUGUUUGUCUCGCCUCUGCGUGUAGACUCGCCUUAAAACAAUUGGCAGCCGGCGUAUUGAUUUCGGAGCGCAGUACAUCUCGCGCUUUGCACUCAUAACGACGACGUCCAAAAGUACAUUUUUACACUCUUGACCUCGGAUCAGGUAGGGAUACCCGCUGAACUUAAGCAUAUCAAUAAGCGGAGA